rnacentral:lncRNA from 1 species
UAGAUUUCCCUCCUCUUGACCUUACAGAAAUGUAGUGAAGAUUCUCUUAAAAAGAGUCUUUAUGAAGCAAGUCCUAUCUGGAGUCAUCACCAAGUUUCAUGUGGGAAUGGGAAAAUAACUCUCCAAAGGCCUCUGUCAAAUAAAAAUGUUUAACUCUGAACCCUGCUUCCCAAAGGACAUGCAGAAGGCUAUGGAUGAGACAAUGGAAGUCUUAAUACAACUACAGACAUACAAAAAGCUGAAGAAACACCACCAACACACAAUGAGGAAAGACUUACUUGAGAGAUUUAGUGGUCGGACCUAUUAUGAGAAAUGUUUAUCGUGUUCCCAGAAAAACUGCAGUAAUAUCAGUGGCUCUGGGAAGGAAGCACUUCUAGGAUUGUUGCCUGACUGACUCCACAUCUAGUCCUCCAUCUAUUGACUUGUGUGCUGCUUACCAUGGAGCAUUGGUAUGAGACUCAAAGUAUGUCCAUAAAUGAUGUUGCAAACCUGA